GAUGAACGCUAGCGAUAGGCCUAACACAUGCAAGUCGAGGGGCAGCAUAGAGUAGCAAUACUUUGAUGGCGACCGGCGCACGGGUGAGUAACACGUAUGCAACCUACCUACAUCAGGGGAAUAACCCGGAGAAAUUCGGACUAAUACCGCAUAAUACAGGGAUGCCGCAUGGCAAUAUGUGUUAAAGAUUUAUCGGAUGUAGAUGGGCAUGCGUUCCAUUAGCUUGUUGGUGAGGUAACGGCUCACCAAGGCAACGAUGGAUAGGGGAACUGAGAGGUUUGUCCCCCACACUGGAACUGAGACACGGACCAGACUCCUACGGGAGGCAGCAGUGGGGAAUAUUGGUCAAUGGACGAGAGUCUGAACCAGCCAAAUCGCGUGAAGGAAGACUGCCCUACGGGUUGUAAACUUCUUUUGUACAGGAAUAAAAGACAUUACGUGUAAUGUAUUGCAUGUACUGUACGAAUAAGCAUCGGCUAACUCCGUGCCAGCCGCCGCAGUAA
rnacentral:rRNA from 1 species